CUCUUGAGCAAGUGUGUGAUAAGUUGCCUCCCCAAAUCACUCAAAUCUGCCACACUGAGGUGGAAAAGAUGCUUCCUCUGGCCAUCACCUUCAUUUCCAGCAUGAUGCAACCCAAUGACAUCUGUGCUUUUCUUGGAAUGUGUGGAGGACGGGACAGUACCAAGAUUAGAGAACUGUUGCUUAAGCACAUGUCAAAAACUGUACCAGUGACAACUAUGAAGAUAGAGACGUCCAUUCA